AAGUCGUAACAAGGUAACCGUAGGUGAACCUGCGGUUGGAUCAUUACUGAAAACUUAUGAAUUUGCCAUUUUAUUGGCAAACCAAAAAAAAUUCAUAACACCCCACUUGUGAACCGUUUACCGUAUUUUUGUUUGGCAGCCCACCUAUUUGUACCAAAUGAAAGGGUGAGGGGGAAUGCAGAGAAAGAAUAAGGGAAAUUCUCUUUUUUCUUUUGUGCUCCGCUCCCUCUUAUCUGGGGCUGUCGAACGCCCUAUAUAAACAAACUCGUUUUUUCUAUUUAUUUGGAGUCUUUUUCUAAUUAUUUUAUAAUUUAAAAAAACAACUUUUGACAACGGAUCUCUUGGCUCUC
rnacentral:misc_RNA from 1 species